rnacentral:rRNA from 1 species
CCUACGGGCGGCAGCAGUGAGGAAUAUUGGUCAAUGGGCGGGAGCCUGAACCAGCCAAGCCGCGUGAGGGAAGAAGGUACAGCGUAUCGUAAACCUCUUUUGUCAGGGAACAAAGGCGGGGACUAGUCCCCGGAUGAGGGUACCUGAAGAAAAAGCAUCGGCGAACUCCGUGCCAGCAGACGCGGUAAUACGGAGGAUGCGAGCGUUAUCCGGAUUUAUUGGGUUUAAAGGGUGCGAAGGCGGCCUGUUAAGUCAGCGGUAAAAGCCCGGGGCUCAACCCCGGCGCGCCGUUGAAACUGGCGGGCUGGAGUUGGAGAGAAGUACGCGGAAUGCGCGGUGUAGCGGUGAAAUGCUGAGAUAUCGCGCAGAACCCCGAUGGCGAAGGCAGCGUACCGGCUCCACACUGACGCUGAGGCACGAAAGCGUGGGUAGCGAACAGGAUUAGAUACCCGUGUAGUC